rnacentral:rRNA from 1 species
UACAUUUAGUUGGGCACUCUAAUGAGACUGCCGGUGACAAACCGGAGGAAGGUGGGGAUGACGUCAAGUCCUCAUGGCCCUUAUAGGUGGGGCUACACACGUCAUACAAUGGCUGGUACAAAGGGUUGCCGACCCGCGAGGGGGAGCUAAUCCCAUAGAACCAGUCGUAGUCCGGAUCGCAGUCUGCAACUCUGACUGCGUGAAGUCGGAAUCGCUAGUAAUCGUGGAUCAGAAUGUCACGGUGAAUACGUUCCCGGGUCUUGUACACACCGCCCAGUCACACCAUGGGAGCGGGUUCUGCCAGAAGUAGUUAGCCUAACCGCAAGGAGGGCGAUUACCACAGUAUGCUUCAUGACUGGGGGAAGUCGUAACAAGGAACCA